CCUACGGGAGGCAGCAGUGAGGAAUAUUGGUCAAUGGGCGCAAGCCUGAACCAGCCAUCCCGCGUGCAGGAAGACGGCGCUAUGCGUUGUAAACUUCUUUUUUAUGGGAAUAACGGUAUCCACGUGUGGUUGCGUGCAUGUACCAUAAGAAUAAGGAUCGGCUAACUCCGUGCCAGCAGCCGCGGUAAU
rnacentral:rRNA from 1 species